ACUUGGCACCCCUUACGCCUUACGGUGGCCGCUGCGCCCAGUCACAUCUAUUGCAUUUCUCUGGAAUGACCACAGCAAUAUUUCCAGCCCUUGAUGAUCUUCUAGAACUUUGCCACUUCCCUGCAUCAAGAGAGCCAUGGAGAAGAGGAGACAGAGUGUGCAAGGGAAUGAAGAAAAGGAACAAGACUAUUUUCAAAUCACCCAUGGCACUACUAGAAAUGUAUUUCAGCAAAAGGACUGGCUGAUUUUAUGAUUCCUGUGUCCACCACAGCCCUCUAAUUUUUACAUAGGUACCCCACAUCUCUCUAGAUUUCAGGAAGACUAUUAUCCUUCGACUUUAGCUUUCUGAUGGGUUCACAAAAAGCCAUUAGUGUGCUGUUGGUCCAGCUUUUUUCUGUUGCAAAUAUGAGAGCUACAGUUCUGAGAUGAAACCACAGAAAUUGUUGCAAUGUGUUUAAAAAUGAGAUAGACGCCGGACACGGUUGCUCGGGCAGAUCACGACGUCAAGAGAUCAAGACCAUCCUGGCCAACAUGGUGAAACCCCGUCUCUACUAAAAACACAAAAAUUAGCUGGGAGUGGUGGCGCACGCCUGUAGUCCCAGCUACUCAGAAGGCUGAGGCAGGAGAAUCACUUGAACCUGGGAGGCGGAGGUUGCAGUGAGCCGAGAUUGCGCCACUGCACUCCAACCUGGCAACAGGGU
rnacentral:lncRNA from 1 species